GGACGGUGCCCGGGCGGCUCUGUGGUUGGUCCACGCCUGCUCUGUCCGGCCACAGCUCUGGGCCUCUUUUACUGGCCUUCUUUGAGCUCUCCCUGGACUUUGGAGCGUCAUGAGAUUUUUCCAUGCUUCUGGCUCUGUCGCUCACCAGCUGAACAGUGACUUGGUGUCAGGGUGGUAAAGCAAAUAGGUGCCUUCCUGGGAAUGGGCAAAGGCGGGGAGUCAGGGAAAGGGAGGCUAGAGGAUAGACAGGACCUCCCAGUAGUGGCAAGAACAGUCUCAGCUCCUGCCUUCCUGGGACCCUUCUGCUGAGGUGCCCCGGGCUGAGGAGGAGGCUUCAUGGGGGCCAUUUCACAGGCCAAGAGGCUGAGUCACCUGCCUAAGGUUGGGCCUCUGGUGAGUGACAGGUUGCAGUUGGACCGGAAAAGAACUCCUGCGGGGAGCCGCUAAUCCCAGAGUAAACAGAUGACCUCGUGGUGCCUUUCUCCCGGAGACCUGACCUUCACCUGGAAGCAACUCCUCCCCCUCCUGGGUCUUCUGUGGACACUGCCCUAGCAGAGCUGGCUUUGCAUCCUGGCCGCCCCCCUUACUAGCUGUGUGACAGAGGCCAGCAAGUGCACCUUUCUGAGCCUCAGUUUCCUCACCUGGAAAGCAGGGAUACAAGGACCCAUCGGGCAGGACUGUUGUAAAAUAUUGUGGUGGGCUUUCCAUAAGUGCUGGCUAUUUAUUAUUAGGCAGGGAAUGAGGCUGAGUCUUGAAGCUGGAGCCAAAUGUCAGUGGCAGCCAAAGGAAGUGAGGACAGGUAGAGCUGGGACAAAGGCACUCAGAUGUCAAUGAAUAGUCCCUGUCUGGGAGACUGAAUAAAAUAGCC